CAGGAACCACUAGCGGAGGUGGACACAUUGCAGCCNAUGCCCCCACAAGAACAGGAACCGGGGUCUGCCGCCCAGAAGGAGGAAGCAGAGCUCAGAUCCGGAUCGGACCAGCGAGACCUGAGGAAAACCUGGGAGGAAUUGGAGGCGCUGAAGGAAAACUUCUGCCGGCUCCAGGAAGAUUAUUCCAAGACGCAACGGACGAACCAGCUGCUGGAGGAAAAGCUUCAAAUUAUUGCCCAGAACAUGGCCGAAGAGAGGCAUACUCUGAACCAGCGGAUCAGUGAACUUCUCGAGAGACUGACCAGCGCCCAGAACGCUGUCUGCAGCUUUGAGAACAUUAAUGUGAGUGCUUGGGUCCGAGGGGCGAGGGACGCAGAGACUAGGGGAGAGGCAGAGUGCCCGGCUGGGAUUCUAGAGAAGGAUUUGGCCACCUGUGGCCUUGGAGCUCUGCCGGUCCUCUGUGGUGUGGACCUGCCCAUAAACACCUGCCUGAAGGCUG
rnacentral:lncRNA from 1 species